AUUGAACGCUGGCGGCAUGCCUUACACAUGCAAGUCGAACGGCAGCACGGGGCAACCUGGUGGCGAGUGGCGAACGGGUGAGUAAAGCAUCGGAACGUACCUUUCAGUGGGGGAUAACGUAGCGAAAGUUACGCUAAUACCGCAUAUUCUGUGAGCAGGAAAGCAGGGGAUCGCAAGACCUUGCGCUGAUUGAGCGGCCGAUGUCAGAUUAGCUAGUUGGUGAGGUAAAGGCUCACCAAGGCGACGAUCUGUAGCGGGUCUGAGAGGAUGAUCCGCCACACUGGAACUGAGACACGGUCCAGACGCCUACGGGAGGCAGCAGUGGGGAAUUUUGGACAAUGGGGGCAACCCUGAUCCAGCCAUGCCGCGUGAGUGAAGAAGGCCUUCGGGUUGUAAAGCUCUUUCGGCCGGGAAGAAAUCGCACGGGCUAAUACCCUGUGUGGAUGGCGGUACCGGAAUAAGAAGCACCGGCUAACUACGUGCCAGCCGCCGCGGUAACAC
rnacentral:rRNA from 1 species